CAGCAGCCACGGUAAUACAGAGGGUGCGAGCGUUAAUCGGAUUUACUGGGCGUAAAGCGUGCGUAGGCGGCUUCUUAAGUCGGAUGUGAAAUCCCUGAGCUUAACUUAGUAAUUGCAUUCGAUACUGGGAAGCUAGAGUAUGGGAGAGGAUGGUAGAAUUCCAGGUGUAGCGGUGAAAUGCGUAGAGAUCUGGAGGAAUACCGAUGGCGAAGGCAGCCAUCUGGCCUAAUACUGACGCUGAGGUACGAAAGCAUGGGGAGCAAACAGGAUUAGAUACCCCAGUAGUCCCUGUCUCUUAUAC
rnacentral:rRNA from 1 species